rnacentral:rRNA from 1 species
UACAGAGGUCUCAAGCGUUGUUCGGAUUUACUGGGCGUAAAGGGCGCGUAGGCGGUCGUGACAAGUCACUUGUGAAAUCUCCGGGCUUAACUCGGAACGGUCAAGUGAUACUGUCGGACUAGAGUGCAGAAGGGGCAACUGGAAUUCUCGGUGUAGCGGUGAAAUGCGUAGAUAUCGAGAGGAACACCUGCGGCGAAGGCGGGUUGCUGGGCUGAUACUGACGCUGAGGCGCGAAAGCCAGGGGAGCGAACGGG